GAUGAACGCUAGCGGCAGGCUUAACACAUGCAAGUCGAGGGGCAGCAUGAAGCGGAGAUUCGUCGAAGCUUUGAUGGCGACCGGCGCAAGGGUGCGUAACGCGUGAGCAACUUGCCCGUUUCAGGGGGAUAACCGGUGGAAACGCCGACUAAUACCCCAUGGCAUCGUUAUGAGGCAUCUCAUUGCGAUUAAAGAAUUUCGGAAACGGAUAGGCUCGCGUGACAUUAGCUAGAUGGCGGGGUAACGGACCACCGUACCGACGAUGCGUAGGGGUUCUGAGAGGAAGGUCCCCCACACUGGUACUGAGACACGGACCAGACUCCUACGGGAGGCAGCAGUGAGGAAUAUUGGUCAAUGGUCGGGAGACUGAACCAGCCAAGCCGCGUGAGGGAAGAAGGCGCUAAGCGUCGUAAACCUCUUUUGUCGGGGAACAAACCGGAGGCCACGUGUGCCUUUCUGAGUGUACCCGAAGAAAAAGCAUCGGCUAACUCCGUG
rnacentral:rRNA from 1 species